CGAACGUCUUCUUCGGAGGACAAGUAGAGUGGCGCAUGGGUGAGUAACGCGUAAGUAAUCUGUCCUGGCAUCUGGGAUAACCUAUCGAAAGGUGAGCUAAUACCGGAUACGUCCUGCGGGAGAAAGACCGCCUCUGUUGUAAGCGGUUGUGCGAGGAGGAGCUUGCGUACCAUUAGCUGGUUGGUGGGGUAACGGCCUACCAAGGCGACGAUGGUUAGCGGGUCUGAGAGGAUGAUCCGCCACACUGGAACUGAAACACGGACCAGACUCCUACGGGAGGCAGCAGUGAGGAAUAUUGCGCAAUGGGGGCAACCCUGACGCAGCGACGCCGCGUGGAUGAUGAAGGCCUUCGGGUUGUAAAAUCCUGUCAGAUGGGAAGAAGUGUACGAUGGUUAAGAGCUGUCGUAUUUGACGGUACCAUCAAAGGAAGCACCGGCUAACUCCGUGCCAGCAGCCGCGGUAAUACGGAGGGUGCGAGCGUUGUUCGGAUUUACUGGGCGUAAAGCGCGCGUAGGCGGUGUGAUCAGUCAGCUGUGAAAGCCCAUGGCUCAACCAUGGACGUGCAGUUGAAACUGUCAGACUUGAGUACUGGAGGGGGUGGUGGAAUUCCCGG
rnacentral:rRNA from 1 species